rnacentral:rRNA from 1 species
AUUGAACGCUGGCGGCAUGCUUUACACAUGCAAGUCGAACGGUAACAGGCCGCAAGGUGCUGACGAGUGGCGAACGGGUGAGUAAUGCAUCAGAACGUGCCCAGUCGUGGGGGAUAACGCAGCGAAAGCUGCGCUAAUACCGCAUACGAUCUGUGGAUGAAAGCGGGGGACCGUAAGGCCUCGCGCGAUUGGAGCGGCCGAUGUCAGAUUAGGUAGUUGGUGGGGUAAAGGCUCACCAAGCCAACGAGCUGUAGCUGGUCUGAGAGGACGACAAGCAACACUGGGACGGAGACACGCCCCACACUCCAACGGGAGGCAGCAGUGGGGAAUUUUGGACAAUGGGCGCAAGCCUGAUCCAGCAAUGCCGCGUGCAGGAAGAAGGCCUUCGGGUUGUAAACUGCUUUUGUACGGAACGAAAAGGCUCUGGUUAAUACCUGGGGCUCAUGACGGUACCGUAAGAAUAAGCACCGGCUAACUACGUGCCAGCCGCCGCCGUAAGAC